GACGAACGCUGGCGGCGUGCUUAACACAUGCAAGUCAAACGAUGAAGCUGGAGCUUGCUCCGGUGGAUUAGUGGCGAACGGGUGAGUAACACGUGAGCAAUCUGCCCUUGACUCUGGGAUAACUGCGGGAAACUGUAGCUAAUACCGGAUACUUUCACUGGAAGGCAUCUUCUGGUGAAGAAAGAAUUUCGGUCAAGGAUGAGCUCGCGGCCUAUCAGCUUGUUGGUGAGGUAACGGCUCACCAAGGCGCCGACGGGUAGCCGGCCUGAGAGGGUGACCGGCCACACUGGGACUGAGACACGGCCCAGACUCCUACGGGAGGCAGCAGUGGGGAAUAUUGCACAAUGGGCGCAAGCCUGAUGCAGCAACGCCGCGUGAGGGAUGACGGCCUUCGGGUUGUAAACCUCUUUUAGCAGGGAAGAAGCGAAAGUGACGGUACCUGCAGAAAAAGCACCGGCUAACUACGUGCCAGGCGCCGCCGUAA
rnacentral:rRNA from 1 species